GGAAGCUGUAAUAUUUUGGCGUCCUGAAACAAAUCGGCUGAGAAAUGCGUUCACUUUUACCUGCAGUGGCUGAACAGCUUUUCCGAGAUAUUCAGAAAACAUACCAGGAAACUUCUCAAAUUCCUGAUGACCUGCUUAUUGCCUUGAAGUUUGUCUUCGGGCCUUGUGCAUUACAGGCUUUGGACCUGGUCGAUCAACGUUCAGUCACCUGUCUGUCAUCUCCCAGUGGACGUAAGGCCUUCCAGGUUAUGGGAGGCUCCGGGCGAUUGUACACUUGCUUUGUGUCCUGCCACUACUGCCCGUGCCCGGCCUUCGCCUACACCGUGCUCCGCAGAAAUGAAGGCCUGCUGUGCAAACACAUCCUGGCUGCCUACCUUUGUCAGGCCAUGGGGGUGACUCAGCAGGAGAGUGUGUCUGAUCAGCAGAUGUCCAUGCGGCUGAGCGGGACAGCAGAACCCUGACACCCAGGCUGAGCUGGACCUAAGUGAUCUGCCUGCCAGCACGGAGGAGAAGAGGGAGUUAAAUUACGCAUGACACUCUAUAGCAGAGGGUCGAUGGUCAUGUGGAUCUGGUCUCUGUUGCGUCUGCUGCCGUUGGAGCUGAGGUACAGCUCCUCCCUGCGGCACAGGAAGUGUUGAGCCAGGAUCUUGCGGAAGGUGUUCCUGAA